AUUCUUUAUAAGAGCUUUGAUACAUGCAAAAUAUUCGAAAACAAUGUCCGAACAUAUAAUUUCCCCCCCGUAAUAUAGCAAAGAUCACGAAAAGGCCCAAAAAAGUACAUUAAGUUUAAAAUUUGGAGUAGAAAAAAAACCAAUAGAAAAAUUCCAUUUUCCUUCCUCAGUCAUCGAAGAGCUCUCUUUGGGCUUUCUGAAAAGGUAUCACAUGCCAAGUUUGGCCUCACGGUCUAAAAGUUAUAGAGUCAUACAUUUUUAACAAAACAAAAAGAGAAAAACCGAAAAAAACAGGGAUGCAACACGAGGACUUUCCUGGAGGUCUCCCAUCCUAGUACUACUCUCGCCCAAGCACCCUUAACUGCGUAGUUCUGAUGGGAUCCGAUGCAUUAGUGCUGGUAUGAUCGCAUCUGUUACUACAUGCAAUGUAAUCGUAUCUAUUCUUUUUUAAAGACUUUAUGAUCCAUUUGCCGUGGGUCCCACCAGCUAUGUAGGAAUACCCUAUCUUCUUAAUAAGAGCCUUGAUAAAUGCAAAAUAUUGGAAAACAAUGUCCGAACAUAUAAUGCCCCCCCCCCCGUAAUAUAGCAAAGAUCACGAAAAUGCCCAAAAAAGUACAUUUAGGUCAAAAUUUGAGUAGAAAAAAAAACAAUAGAAGAAUUCCAUUUUCCUUCCUCAUUUAUCGGAGAGCUCUCUUUGGGCUUUCCGAAAAGGUAUCACAUGACAAGUUUGGCCUCACGGUCUAAAAGAUAUAGAGUCAUACAUUAUUAACAAAACAAAAUAGAGAAAAACCGAAAAAAAAGAGGGAUGCAACGCGAGGACUUUCCGGGAGGUAAUCUAUCCUAGUACUACUCUCGCCCAAGCACCCUUACCUGCGGAGUUCUGAUGGGAUCCGGUGCAGUAGUGCUGGUAUGAUCGCAUGUGUUACUACAUGCAAUGCAAUCAUAUAUAUUCUUUUUUGAAGACUUUAUGAUCCAUUUGCCGUAGGUCCCACCAGCUAUGUAGGAAUACCCUAUCUUGUUUAUAAGAGCUUUGAUACAUGCAAAAUAUUCGAAAACAAUGUCCGAACAUAUAAUUUUUGUCCCGUAAUAUAGCAAAGAUCACGAAAAGGCCAGAAAAAAUACAUUUCGGUCAAAAUUUGGAGUAGAAAAAAACCCCUUCCUCAUUCAUUGGACAGCUCUCUUUGGGCUUUCCGAAAAGGUAUCACAUGCCAAGUUUGGUCUCACGGUUUAAAAGUUAUAGAGUCAUACAUUUUUCACAAAAAAAAGAAGAGAAAAAAC
rnacentral:sRNA from 1 species